rnacentral:rRNA from 1 species
UUAGGAAUUUUCCGCAAUGGACGAAAGUCUGACGGAGCAACGCCGCGUGAGUGAUGAAGGCCCUCGGGUUGUAAAGCUCUGUCGGAGGGGAAGAACACAUGACGGUACCCUCCAAGAAAGCCCCGGCUAACUACGUGCCAGCAGCCGCGGUAAUACGUAGGGGGCGAGCGUUAUCCGGAUUUACUGGGCGUAAAGCGCGUUAAGGCGGCUCGCUAAGUUGGGGGUGAAAUUUCAGGGCUCAACCCUGAAACUGCCUCCAAUACUGGCGAGCUUGAGUGCGAGAGAGGAAGGUGGAAUUCCCGGUGUAGUAGUGAAAUGCGUAGAUAUCGGGAGGAACACCAGUGGCGAAGGCGGCCUUCUGGCUCGCAACUGACGCUGUAGCGCGAAAGCGUGGGGAGCGAACGG